GGCACCGUGGCCUAAUGGUAAGGCGCUGCUUUCCGGUUUGGUGAAUGGCAGAGAUUGUGGGUUCGAGUCCCAUCGGUGUCG
rfam:Fungal sp. No.11243 DNA, scaffold: sccafold0014.